rnacentral:rRNA from 1 species
UACCAGCACCCCGAGUGGUCGGGACGUUUUAUUGGGCCUAAAGCAUCCGUAGCCGGUUCUACAAGUCUUCCGUUAAAUCCAACUGCUUAACAGGUGGGCUGCGGAAGAUACUAUAGAGCUAGGAGGCGGGAGAGGCAAGCGGUACUCGAUGGGUAGGGGUAAAAUCCGUUGAUCCAUUGAAGACCACCAGUGGCGAAGGCGGCUUGCCAGAACGCGCUCGACGGUGAGGGAUGAAAGCUGGGGGAGCAAACCGGAUUAGAUG